GGAACCUGUUGUCCGCAACAGGCCCUUGCUACCUUGCAGCGUGGAGGGACUGAAAGCCACGGUUUCGGUUUGGGAAUCCUCGUGGGACCAGGGCGUCGGAAUGCUUCAAGAGGUAUCUGUUUGAAUGACAGAGGGGAAAAGCAGGACUCCAGAGCCACCACAUGACACCAUCACCGGAAUGCGGUGGCGGCCAAUGAGAGAGCCCGGAAUGCGGCCGUGCCCCAAUGAGAUGAGAGGGGCGCAAAAAGCCAACGACGACAGUGUUACACAACUGCGCAAGGAGAUGGGGCAUCGUAACAGCAGGAUGAGGCAUACAGUACGUGAAGAAGAGCCCAGAGGUCUAAUAGACAAGUGCAGAGUGGAGGGCUGAGU